rnacentral:lncRNA from 1 species
UUUUUUUUUUUUAGUGUAAACAGGAGGAUUCGAACCUAAGACCUCUUCCUUACACUCCCUCUCCCGUACCAUCCAACCCAACCCAACCCUCCCCCUAGUAUAUUCAAAAUAAAAAAAAAACCUCAUCCUGCUCAUCCUAUGCUAGUAAUUAAUUAUGUAUAAUAGGAACAUUCUUUUCUAGAGAAAUUUUCAGCAGUGAGAGUGCAAGAUAUAUGUCACAAUAAGCAUUGCGUAUGAUUGAUUUUUGACACUAAAUGACCAGCAAUUUGUUUAUUGCUUAAGGAGAUGUUUUUUAUUCAUAUAUACAUUUCUCCAAGAUUUUUUAAAGUUAAACAAUGAGAUAAAUUUUCUUAUUUUGCAUGGGAAGAAGUAUGUAGUUAUAAUGUGUAAAAAGUAAAGAUAGAGAUAAAAGUGAAAAUAUUUCAAAAGUUAAACAAACACCAGAAAAAUGAAGUAAGAAAAUAUUUUCAAUAAGCUAACCAAACACCUGAAAAUGAUGAAAGGGAAAUGAUUUUCAUGGAAAAUUACUUCCACGGAAAAUAUUUUCCCAAGGAAAACAUUUUACUUCCAACCAAACAGACCAUAAGUAGAUUAAUGGAUGAAAAUCCUUGUGGAUCGAGGAUUCCAUAUUUUGUAAUGUAUUGAUGUCACAAGCUGCUAUGCUUUUUAUUCAAAUAACACAUUUAUCAAUUAAGCAGUUAACUAAUUGGCAACAUCCGGGUAUAUAAGGUACUCUAUACUCUUUUUUCUUUUUUUUUUUUAAAUGUAAGCAAAAUGUUUCAAACUUAGAAUCAAAAUCUCUCACUUACACUUCUUUCUAUCGUAUCACACAACUCGUUCAUCUUUCCUAUAGUGCUUUAUACUUCUAUUUGUACCAGUGUGCAAAUCAUCCCAAAUGCGUACAUCUAUAGACCAAUUGUAAAAGCUCGAAUGAGAUUUUAAGUAAUUGUGAGAAUAAUUGCAUAGUGCAGUUAAAAUAUUCAAGAUCAUUUAACCUUUUUUAAGUAAGAGUACAAAAUAAAGUAUAAAAAUGAUUGGGCUUUAUAUAGUAGAUAAUCAUUUACCAUUGUCAUUAUUAUUAUUAUCUAUUGUUGUUAUUGUUGUUGUUGUUAUUAUUACUAUUGAAAUCUAAAGCACUUAGUAUAGUAAAAAGGGAUAAUUUCAUUUUGCACCAUCUAAUUAUAUUCGAAUUUUCACUUUAAUCCCUAAACUUUAAAAUGAAGAACCUUCUCUUCUCCUCAAACGAUGAAGAAUGCAGAGAGGAUUCUAAAGCUGAAGAACGCACAGAGGAGAGAGGAAGGGAACGGUCAGAGGUGAUACUAUAGACAGAGAGGAAGGGAACGGUCAGGUAAGCAAAAGGAAGACAGUAUAAACAGAACAUUCAAAAACGUUUCAGAGAAAACCUUCUCUUCUCAAACCUUCUCUGCCGUAUGCUUCGCCGCUGAAUGUACGAGAGUUCCCUGGACUAGCAGUCUAGCAGCCUGCAGAAGAAGAAAGAAGAAAAAGCAUAUGUAUUUGAUAAAAAAAUGAUCACUGAUCAGCACAAAACCCGUCGAAGUUGUUCCCUUAAUCUAUAACAUAUUAAAUUUAUCCCAUUCAAAUAAAUUUUAUCCCACUUUUAUCCGUAAAGUGUAAAAUCUUUUAUACUAUAAUCUCUAAAGUAGGACAAACUUUAUAAUUCAAAAACUAAAGUGUCUUAUUUUAAAAUUUAGAGGCUAAAGUGAAAAACUGAAAAUUGACGGAUGUAAACCCAAAUUAACGGGUUCAACUUUGACUCGGUCGCUGGUCAAACCCCCUCAGUCAAUUACUUGACGCCGUCAGUAAAGCCGUCUUCUGUACUCUAUACUGGUAGUCUGGAAUCAGCCCAUCAAUGCUGAAGAAUCCAUCACUACCCUUUUUGAGUUUUUCAAACCAGGCCAACCGCCCCAUUAUUUACUAUUAAACAAAACAAAGCAUCCGACGACUUGUUCUUAAUCUCAUUCUUUUAUCCAUUUUUUAUUUCUAAUCAGCGACUAAUCAUCAUUAUAUUGAACUAAUUCCACAACUAAAAACAAUAAUCAGAAUACUCAGUCUUCAUUUUGCAUAAUUUCAUUCCUUCUUCUCCUCUUCUCUUCUGAUCUUUAGCUUUAUUGGCCUACAAAUAAUGCUGCUGCCGCAGGCCACCGCUGCAGGUUUUGAUUGAUCGAAAGGUUUGGAAACCGAGAAAAGAGUUGGAAUUUGGGAUUCGGAGUUCGGAAUUUUCAGCUAUGGCGGCGAAUUCGGGUAGUAAUAGUAGUAGUAAGGAGACGGCUUUGAGGCUGAGAGCGGCAGCGGAGGCGGCCAUAGAGUGUAUAGGGUUGGGUUAUGACAUGGCGGUGGACCUUAGGUUGAAGUAUUGCAAGAAGCUGCAGUCACGAUUGAUCGCCGUUGAUGAUGAUCAGGUCAGAGAUAUUGCGGUUCCCGGUGGAAUUUUGGUCCAGAAUGUUCCUAAGUCGAUCAAGUGUGAUAAAGGAGAGCGAUUACGGUUUGGCUCUGAUGUUCUGUCUUUUCAGCAGGUAUGCUGUUGUAUUUAUGUGAGUUGAAUUUGUCCUUCAAUCGGUGGAAUUCUCUGAAUUGUUACCGUAAGUUUGUAUCAGUUAUGUUCUUUUGUUGUUUUGUUCUUGUUUGAAGCUUCCGUUGUCUGAAAAUUUUCAGUUUUGAUUGUUACACAUGCAUAUGUAUUGAUAUAAGAGCCUGUGUUGGAAAAAUAUUAUGCAUUUUCAAGUAAGAAGCAUUUUCAAGUAAGAAGGUUUUUUUGGUUCAGUUACAUCCAUUGAAUGCGAACUUUGUAGAACACAGGGAAUGAAAAGGGUGGAAAACUUAAGCAUGUAGUUAGAGUCAGGAGUCUAUAUUGAGCAAUAGUUCCUCAGUUAGAAUAGAAAAGUGUCAACUGAUUGAUUCGUUUGGAGGUAUGGCUGUCUAUGGUUCAGCUGCAAAAAACUCUUGUUCAAGGAGUGAGGGCUGCCAGAGCUAUAGGCAGAGUCCCGCUUUCUUUGCAUUAGCUGUAUUGUUCUCUUGGUGAAGUUCAUGCGCCAAAACAUUUUAGCAUUUCUUUUCAUAAUUUCUUAUUUUUCUGCAAUUUUUAUCCUUUUCACCUUCCAGAUGUCAGAACAAUUCAACCAAGAUGUAGCUCUUAGUGGUAAAAUCCCAACAGGACACUUCAAUGCUGCCUUUGAAUUUACGGGUUGCUGGCAGAAAGACGCUGCCUACACAAAAGCCCUUGCUUUUGAUGGUGUCUUCAUCACCCUCUACAGCAUUGCAUUAGAGAAAUCCCAAGUAAUGCUAAGCGAUCAUGUUAAACAAGCUGUCCCCUCGUCAUGGGAUCCGGCUGCAUUGGCAAGGUGAGUAGACUGGUUGCUUGGAAGUCAGAUUCUUUAAUUAUUUAUUUUCUUUGCUUUCCAUUCGGUAUUUUCAAUUUGGUCCUCAACAUGUGAUUUCCUCAAGGCUUUAUAACUUUGGCUGCUUACUUAUGCGGUCAAGUUUCUUUAACUUGUAGCUCUGUUUGUUGAUUUUGGCUUAUUUAGUAGGACAAACCAUAUUUAAAUCUAUUUGUUGAUUUGUCAUGAUUAUUAGAACCAGCCAUCUUCUGUGGUAGUUUGUUGUGGUUCUUCAUAAAGAUGUUUUUUCACAGAGUCUUUUCUGGGAUUCUGUUUUUGGUGUCCCAGCAAUGACAAUAUUGCACUGUGACCAACCAAAUUAGUUGAAACUUUGUCAUUUAUUUGUAUACAGUCUCAUCUUUUAUGUCUUUGUACCUACUGUUGCAUGUGUUUCACCACAAAACUACAUGUUUCCAAAUUUCAACUGUAACCAGACAUUUGCAGCCUCCUUAUAUGUUUUUUUGUGUUUACGGGUUUAUUUAGUUUUUCUGGUGGCACCCACAGAGAGAGUGACAGCACAACGUUUAUAUACAAUUACAAGAAAAUGUUAUCUUAAAAUUUGAGGAAAUGUAUUUUAUUUCUUAAACCGUUUGUCCCCAGGAUCCAGCAGCAUAUAUUUCUUAUUUGGUUAUGUGUGCAUAUCUUUGCAGGCAGUAACCUGUGCAUUUCCAGUUUGUUUCCAUGUGCAUAGCUUUGCAGGCAAUAAUCUUUAUGUAAAGAUGUUUAAUCUAGAAGUUAUCUGCUUCUACCUUUUGCAUUACAAAUCUUUUAAUCAUCCCAUUAUUCUGGUGUUUUAAACCUGGCUGAGUUAUACGACUGUGCUGGGUUUGAAACUAUAGACUAAUGUUUUGAAAUGGUUGUUUCAGUAAAUUUAAGGUCCGUUGCAGCAGAGAGAUUUAACUUAGUAAAGACUGUCAUUCCACUGAAGAUUGUGGACCUGCAGUUGUUGGUUACAGAAUGCAAAACUUAGUUGGCACAUCUUGGAGAAUGUUCAACCAUUGUUAAUGAAAGGAGUUUAAGUAUAGAGUUAUGUUAGUUCAAUCAAGUGCUACUUGAUCCAGAGGAUUUGAGCUUCAAAGUUCUUGCAUUCAGUCCAAAGAGUGUAACAAAAAAUGUGUGAAGCCAAAAUUUAUCUGACAGAGGAUUUGAAAAGCAGAUGCUUAAUUCCUUACCAUAAUAUCACCAGUAGGAAUAUAUCUCACUUCCGCAACAGGAGGUUUUCCUGUGGAAUGCUACAAGAUGUCUACUUAUAGUUCUCAUGAGCUGUCAUACUACUUAACUACUGUUGUUUAUAGGUGUCAUCACCUAGGCAUGAUAAAGAUAAUAUACGAUUCUAGUCCAACAUCUACAAGUAGUUGAUAACUUGUGUAGUUCUUUCUAGUUGUUGUUUAGUGCUAUGGAUGAAUUUCUUUUGAUUUUCUUUGUUUUCCAAUGUUUGGAAAUAUGUUCCUCAGAUUUGCUUUUUCAUUUUGUUUUUAUAAAUAUAUCUUUAUGGAUGAGCUGAGCAGCAUCUGUGAUUUUCACAGAGUCAAACUUUACCUCAUAAAAUUGGAAUCAGUUUAAGGUUAUGUCCAGUCUGUGCUAACUUGGAGAAACUUAGGUUUAUCGAGAAAUACGGAACCCAUGUGAUUGUUGGUGUGAAGAUGGGGGGAAAGGAUGUCGUGUAUGUAAAUCAGCAAUACUCAUCACCACUUCAGCCUGCUGACAUUCAGAAAAAAUUGAAGGAUGUUGCAGACAAGAGGUUUACUGAUGCAAGUAGACCUUCAAGCACCCACAAUGAUAAAGUUUAUAUCAGGGAAAUGGUGAGUUCUAAAGCUUAUUGUCCUGUAAGGCACAUCUUUCAGUGUGCCUUUCUAGGUUUUCUAAACUGUAUCUAUCCAUGUAUGUAGGUGAGAUCUGAUGCUUAUUGACCAGCUGAUAUUGGGUUUGUCAAUAAACAUCUUGUUACUGGAUGUGCAAUUGUUUGUCCAGACAACGUCUGUGUUCAGCAUGAGAUAUUAUCCAGCAUGUAGCUCUUGGCAGUUCUUAAUACAGACACACUAAAGGAAAGUCACAAACCUAAGAAUAGACAAACUUAGCAAUGGAGUUACACUAUAUUGCGUCCGCACACGAAGACUUGCCUUGGGAAUAGGGAAAUGACCUCGCUUGUAGAUAAGGACUCAAGACUCUAGAGUCUCUCUUGCAUUUCAUUGCUGAGUAUUGAGAAUGGUGCUGUGAUUCCUUUUUAAGAUAGUAAUGUUGUUAGUGUUUGGGAAUGGAAAGAUGCUGUCAUCAAAAUGUGGGGGAGCAUAGAGAGAGUUAAGCUUUAAUCCUGAUCUAAGAGCCAGCAAUGUUUCAUACGAUUAAAGCUCAAGCAUCUAAAUCCAUUUUCAGUUCUUGAAUGGUAUAGGUAGCAGCAUAAUGCAGAACUCAUCUGAUUAUGGUCAAAAUUACUGUGACAAAAUUGCAUUUAUGUUUCUCCAUUCCUAAUAAGUGCAUACUUGAUUCUUUCAUGUCAGUCCUGAUGAUUUACUAUUUGUUCUUUCUUUCAUCAUCCCUGUCAUGGCAUCAACAUCCAGUCAUGUGUCAGUAGGUGUUCACUAUUGUGGGCUUUGAAUUCUUAAGCACGUCUCUUUUCUAAUUUCUAUUUCAGCUGGAUGGCAAUGACAGUGGUCAGACCUUCAUGGAUACCACUACAGGGAGCAUUUAUUCCCAGAAUGAGGUACUUAUGCUCUAUAUAUCUUGCUGAAUAAAAAUUCUCAUGUAAGAGCGGCAUUUUGAUUCCUCGUAACAAAUAUUUUUAGUACUAUAUCUUCAAAUUAGAAUCAUGGAAUACUAUUUCUGCUUUGUUCCCUUGAUUUUCUGGGCUAGUAAUGUGAUACCUGAACUAUUAAAGAUAGAAAACAAUCUAUGGUUUUUGUUAACAUUUGUUUAGGCAUUUAUUCGGUAAUGUCAAGGGGAGAAUAAUAGUGUAAGUCCUUUUCAAGCUGAAGAUUAAGCAAACUAAAAGCAUAUCUUAUAUCUCCUUAAGCACCAAUGGAUGGGAAAAAAUGCAUGGUAAAAGUUCCAGAAAAAAUAAUUUCAAUAUGCUGCUUCAAAAUUGUCGGAUAUGAAAGUAUUGCAAUGAGAGAGAAUGAGGAAGUAGCUCAAUCAAUAUUCUGGUGUCACCGCUGAAUGUAGAAAUUGUGAAAUAUGAGAAUUUGUCCUAUAUAUUUUGUUGAAAUGCGACAAUUUCUUGCAAGUGCUUCCAAACAGUAAAACUCAUCUGAGUCAGCAGAAUCUAAGCUAGUUUCGGGUGGAAGAAGGGCAACAUAGGCAUAAAAAUCAAAGACAUAGGCUGUGCAGAGGCCUUUGUCUCUAACUGAACUGCAGUGACGUAGCUUCUUAUGCUGCAGCCGAUACCAUCCUAGCUUCCCAUUCUUUUCUACUGCUAGUCUGAUUUUAAGGAUAGCGGGUAAGCAGGAAAUCCCGUAGAUCUGAUCUGAGAUCUUGCCGCGUUAAGCAAGCUAAUUAGAAGGCCCUUUGCUAUCAAUAAGAAGGAGAUUCAAUCUUCAAGUACUAUUUUUAAUAUUGACUUUAGAACUGCUUUUAUUUUCCCAAAGUAAUUUAAAAAGUACCACUUGAAUAAUAUUCAGACAUAUCUCUUGAUUUUUUGUAGCUGAUGACAAGGAGGUUCAAAAUUUGGCCCUUAAAGUAUUGUAUUGUGUCCUAACUUGGCAUAGUCUUUUUGAUGACUUACCUAUUGAGAUGUCAAUUGCAUUAAGCACCAUGGAAUUGAACUUUUUCAUUUUCCUUCUUAUGCCUGACUUAGAAUAGGUGAAUCUAAAGUGGAAGUUGAUAAGACCACCUUCAAGCCUGUUAAAAGAACAGGGCAAGAGGAAAUCCUUCUUUUAUGGUGCAGGAAAAUUUAUUUUUAUUCUUCAAAAUACUACUCAUUUACAAAGUCUCAUGGAGGAGCCUUCUUUAUGCAAGGAAUACAUCAAACAGGAACCAAUUGUCCCAAUAACAAAGUUGCAACAGCUGAGAAAAUGUCUACGCUAAAGUUUCAUUCAGUAAGCUCCAAGUUCCUGCCAUACAGCCACAGUACACCUAAUUUCCUUCACAAUAUGAUUAGUAGCAAAUACUACAGAUGGAAUACAAUUUCUGAACACAGUACCAUUCCUUGACCUCCAAAUACCAUGCAAAAUAGCAGCAAGAGACAGUUUCUUUCCUUAUCAUACAAAUGAUUUGCGGUCAAAGUGAUGGCUUAACCAGGACAAUCCAAAAGGCCAAGCCUCGACGAAUCUAUAAAUAAAGAACAGUCCAAGUAUUCUAUGCCACACUGCAGCAAAACAUGUAAAGAUUGUACCAUUUGUGGAGUUAAUGCCUGAACAAUGUAUUACACAAUCCUCAGCUUCAUCAUUCCCAGCUUCUCAGUCUGUCAGCAGUAGAUAAUCUUCAUUUGCAUAACAACCGAAAGAAGAAAGCAUGCCUAGCACAACCUUUUUGUUUAAAUGCCCUUAGGAGGUGGAUUCUGCUAAAAUUGAAAAUUUAUUUGUUUCUUCCUUGUGUUAUGUGUUUAGUACAUAGCAGACAGCAAUCUAACAUGCUGAGCUGAGUAGUGUGAACUUUUGAAUAUAUGGGGCAUAAAAGUUUUGGAUGUAAUAAAGGUCAAUGGAAAUCAAGAUAGCAAAUUGACAUCAAACGUGAGUUUCAGAAUUAAUCACCCUGCAGUAAAAUUUAAAUAAAUUGUCUUACCUGGUUUAGAUAGAAACUAAAAUGCUGAAUGGCCUGAUUUUCUCUUUAUUGUCUCCCAAAACAAGCAAGAGAUAAGUGUUUUCAACUAAUAACAAGUUAUUGUUUUCAGCGUGAUUAAAAUUAAAUCAAAACAGCUGUGCUCUAAAAAAUGCAAAUAAAUUAGGAUGAAUAAAUAUUCCAGUCUUUGAUUACAGAUAUUUUGUGUUUUUCUAGACCAUGGCUUUGAAUUUGCUCUUCAAGCAUAUACCAUAUUACUUGUAUUGACAUCAAUUUCAUGAUUAUAUCACUUUGAACAAUUUGGAUAAAAUUCCGAAAUUAAGGCUAAAGACCUGUUAUAUAUUGUAUAAACCAACUGGAAAUUCUGUAUUCUUUCUUUUUAGUAGCAAACAAAACAUUAAACACUCAAGUUGAAGGUGAUGAUAUUUGGAAGCAAAGAGAUCGAUGAACUUGAUGGGUUUAUUCAUUUCUAAAGCAGGAUAUUACAUUCUUCUGUAGAAGGAGGGGUGGGAGCAGUAGCAGGAACUUGUCCCAUAGUAAGUGGUGUCAAAGUGUCCAGCUUGAACCUGAUGUGAUUUUGAUGUCCUUCAUACCAAUCUCAUCAUUGCUGAGUGGAAUUGAUGGAAGUGGAUUUUUGAGCCAUGCUAUCAACCUUUACCUACGCUGUAAGCUCUGUCUUCAACCAUAUUACGCAAACUCUGUGGAAUACUAUUUUUUAAUUAUUUUGGUGGUAACUUAAUUGCUUUGGCCCAUUUUAGUUGUUCUGAGUAGAAUUGACAUCCAUUACCAAGUGGCUGACUCGGUUAUUUAUUAGUUUAUUGUGAAUGAUAUGCCUAUGCAUUCAUGAAAGUGCACUGUAGCUCUGACUUAGUGUUUUUUGUUACAAUAGAAUUGAGAGGUUCCAAAGUAAGGAUCAUCCUUUCCGGAGACAGACAGAUGUGUUUGUUUUACAUUUCAUAACAUGUUUUGUACCAUUUCUACAUACCAUGAUAUCUUUGGAAAAUCAAUGAGCUCUGUGGGUAUGUAAAAUCUCAUCAAAUCAACAUUUGUUUACUUGUCUUCCCUUCUUGGUAUAUCCAAUAAAUUGGAAUGAUAAAGCCAUUCUUUUUCACUAGACAAAGUAUAUCUCCUGAGUUGUGCUAUCCUGAAAAGAAAUCCGGCAAUAAUGUGUUGUGAAGCUAAUGGAAGUUGCUUUCUAGAGCUUAAUUAUUGGGUCUCCAUCGAAUCUUUCCCCUUUAGAAAAUCUCACAAUGGUGCUCUCGAGUCUGUGGGAUAACUAAUUUGAGUUGUAUAAUAGCCUACUGUUAGGCAAUCUGCGCUUGUACAUCUAUCAUGCUAGGAUUUGUUCAUUGUUAAAGACAGUUUUUGAGGAUUGGCAUAUUAGAUGGGUUUGGGGAUUGGUACAUGUAGCCUGCACUUGUCUUAUACAAUGAGACAAGCUUUGAAGAUUGGCAUGUUACAUAGGUUGACAGUAGUCAUUCAAUCAUCGGUUUUAUGUCAUGUAAUUUUGGCUUUUCUUUCACCCAUUACUUGACAGACUUCCAAUCAGUUUUCCAAGCUAGUGGACCAGAUUAGUUAGUGGGAUUACUCAGAUAAAUAAAUUCAUUCAUUUUUGUCCGCUCUUUUGGUGAAUUUAAAUGUACAAAUGCCAAGUUGUUGGCCAUCACGGCUGCAAUCAAUCUGGAGAUGGUGCAAGAAUCUCUAUAGUUGGAAUGUCUUUUUAUCCACGUAUUUAACAUCUUAGACGUUUAAUUUCCUAGUUUUAGUUGUAUUUGCUGAGGUGGUUAUCUACGAUUCUGAUAUUGUAAACCAACUUCAGUAUCAAACUCUCCAUUUCAAACUGGUUCCAGUAUGUUGAUGCUAUGAGCUAUUGAAAUUUGUUUGGGGGUAAUGCUGCUCACCACUUGGAUAUGGAUAUCGUUGUUGUACUUGUUUCUACUAUGUAGUUGUCGAUUUGGAAACUUUUUGAGAGCAUUUGGAACCAUUCCAGCAUGACUUGAAUCACAUAUUCACGCAUUAUGCUUCUCACUUGACUCCCUCACACUGUCAUAUCAUCUUAGGGUCCACUGUGGGAGAGCCUAGAAAUCUUUCAACUUCUUUGACAAGUGACCUACUCUUGGUAUCGCUUUACUCUGGGAAAGGUUGAGAAUACAUAGAUUAGCAAAUUGAGUAAAAGGUGUGGCCUUACUGAGGAAGAAGUGAAUGCUAUCUGUACUUACUGCCAUUGACAACAUUUCUCCUAUUCCAAGCCAGGUGUUUAGGGCAAGCUAGACAGGAAUUUGUGAUGCAGUCAAAAAAGAGCUCGCGGAAUCUAAAGUUGAAGACUUUUCACGAUUUUUCUCCAGCUUCAUUGAGGCAUCCCUUGACCAUUAACUGUUUAUUUGGCAGUUGGAAUACGUAAAUUAAGAGUCCUUGUUUAAGUGUCAACACAGUAGGAACUAUAUCCUCUUGAGUUUUACUACUUUCUAGAAUUUUAGGUCUUAAGGGUAUUUUAGCCUUUUUAGUGUUCACACAAAAUUUUCAGUAAUUGAGUUGUUGAGUGUUACGAGGUUAUUUUGAUUGUAUUAGAAUCUAACUGGAGUUGGUGUUGUAGAAAAGUCCCAGGAAACUUCUUCAACUAAUUUUGCUUGUGAAUAGGAAUUGGGAUUAUGAAUAUGAUUCUGUUUUUAGGGUAGCUUAUAGCUUAUAGGUACUCUUGUUACAGCUUAUAUUACAUGUAGAUUGAUCAAUGAUCAAGAAAGAAUUGAGUCUUUUGUUUAGUCAUUAAUUUUCUUCUUCCUCAUCAUACCCUAAAUCCUCUUCUUCUCCACUUUCCCCCCUACUGUUCACUGGUAGCGGUCACAGCCCCAAUAUCUUCUCAUUCCUCUGCUGUGCUAGUAGGCAAGUUUUUCCUGUCUUCUCCUCCAUCAAGUGGUCUUUUCUAAGUUUCAUAAUCAGAAGUACUUGAUUCUCUGAUUUAAAGUCAAUUUAACUGUCAUCUUAAAGACUUAUUCCUCAUUUAUGGAGAGAAAUGUAAUAACAUCAUUAGGUGCUCUCUCUCUCUGAUUGAUUGAAUAUUUGGUGCCCUUCACUAUUUGAACUAUCACAUCCUGGGACCUCACUCCAUAAACCCUCCUCAUUCUUGUGCUAGUGUGAGAACUUUCAGUGUUACCCUCCCUAUUAUAUCCAUAAUUUGACCAUAAAUACACAAGAUGUAUAUAGUCACAGUUCCUAGGGACUUGCGUCUUACUGGUCAAUCUAUUUACUCAACUAAUUAUAAGUUUCUCAGAGAAUUUUUUGAUAAUAUUUUGGAAUCAAGCCUGUUUUUUGAAUGUCGAACCUCACUUUUUUGUUGUUAUUUUUACUGCCUUUCAUAUAUUAUUUUGUGCAAGAAUGUUUUGCUUUUGCUAAUUUGUUUGACAUUAGGCCUAUAAUUAUAGUUGCCAGAAGGACAAGAGGUUUGCAUAUAUCAUGGAAAAUGAAGUGGGAUAUGUUCCAUAAUCUGUGAUAAAUGUAAAUGAAAAGCAUAACUUUAAGAUUUAAUUCAAUUCCUAGCAGCCAUUCUGUGGAUACUAGAUUUAGAAAACUAAGAAGAAACUUCUAAGGAAAAGAAUCAGAAAGAACAACAUGCACAUUUGACUCAAAAGUUGUAAAGAAAGUAAACUGUAUUUACUUUUAAACUUUGACCAAAAUCAGAAAGGUUCUUUAAAUGUUUAACUGUCUGGUCCACUUGCUACUAAAUGAUUUUACCAUAUGCCAUGUGGUUCCAUCUUAUAACUAUUAAUCCAUUACUCAGAAACUAGAAGUCGUCAUUGGUUAAGUGAAGUACAUACAUUAUGUAACACAACCUCUCAGAGAAAAAUUACUCUAAUAAAAAUUCUGGACUUCUGUAUGUGUCCUCACUCGAAGCAGAAAUUUUGAAGAGUUCUAUGAACUUCUUAGUUCUCUUAGAGGAUCAUGUCAUGAUAUUUAGGCAGGGGAUUUAGCAGCAAAUUUUUUGUCAGCAAUACUUUUCCUCUGUUUGAUUGAAUGCCUACACAUGCUAUACAAAAUAUCACAGCUUAUUGUAUCUAUAGUUGGGAUAUAAGAGCUCUUCCGUUAGGAAACAGUUUCAUUAGCUUGAACAUUUGUGAUAGUCCUAGCUUGUAUUGCAGCUUGGUCUACAUAGAGUUCCAGUGUCAUGAUUAUUUACAAUCAUCUAUCCAAGGUUAUGUAGCUGCCAUUGUCCUCUUUUUCACCUUUUAAAUAUCAAAGCCAAGUUUUCUGAUUCCUCUAUGUGCGUAUGGUCAACAUUCUUAUGUCCAUCUUUCAGCGUGUUGCCUUAGACUCUUUCCAGGUUCCUUAUUGGUGAACAUUUUCUUAGUCGCAUCAUCUUUAUUUAGUACCAGAUGUGAAACUUGGAUUGAGAGUUAGAGAAACCAUUUUAUUUUACUGCUAUUACCAUGUAUGAUGUUAUCUCACUCAUAAAUGAGCCAAUAAGUGAAACACUAAAUAGAUGCAGAGAAAAUUUUGCUGAACUGCUUCUGCAGAUCACUGUUAUGUAACAACUCCGAGGGUGGAUAGAUGGUCCACAUGGUUGGACAAAGGAUGAGCUUGAUAUGAGCAAGCAACAACUUGAAUGAAGUAUAAUUUAAUUAUGCAAAAGCCAUGUUAGGCAUAUUUACUAGAAUUGGAACUGUCAAAUUACGAUAUUCUCCUAGCAUUGUGGGCUUAACUUUAGAAAGAUGAAAGAAAAAGCAUAAGUUGAAAUUAAACAUAUAAAUUUUUUUUGUAAGCAAAAUUAAACAUAUAAAUUUGAUAAUUGGCAAUUUCACUUUCUGAGUUGAUGAGCUUGGCAUGUAUUCGACAUUAAUAUGUGGUCCACACUAGUGAGCAGUAUGAGAUGCUUUAAAGAUCUCAUCUCAUUGUGCCUUCAUUAAUGUGUUUAACUAUGUUACAGCAAUCAUAAUAUAUAAAUGGUAUUUUUCUUCAACCUGGAAAUAUUAAUCUCAAGUCUUGGGGAUGCAGAUAAACCACCAAUUGAAGAACUAUAUCAGUUUUUGGAGUUUCAACUUCCUCGGCAAUGGGCACCAGUAUUUGGUGAACUUCCCCUAGGUCCUGACAGAAAGCAGCAGAGCGGUGCAUCUUUGCAGUUCAGCUUAAUGGGUCCAAAGCUAUAUGUUAAUACAAACCCGGUAACAGUCUCAUAAAAUCGAGUGCGCUUAAACUUUUUGUUGGCAUCUUUGCAUUGACAAAGGACUUUAAACAGUUAUCUGUUUCAGUUCCUUAACCUUGAAACAAGUAUUUCAGCAGGUUUCAUAGUUGUGAUGUUUAGAAUUCCUGUAAUCUGCCUUUUGAAACUCUGAUCUGGUAGUAAAUCCUGCAGAAAAUAAUGAUUUUUCUGAAUCGCUUGUUUGUUCAAAUUAGGACUCUAGUUUAGACUUAUCAGAAUAUAUAUAUAUAUAUGUAUAUAUAUCAUAAGCUUUGCAUUUAUAUGGACCUAAGGGAAUGAACUAGUAAAUAAAGGGAAAGGAAAGAAUGAGAAAGAGCACAUAGAGUUGGUUGAAUGAGGGUUGGGAAGUAGUGCUACAUAGUAAGGGUUGGUGGGAAGGAGCUGAGAAGUGCUAUAUAGCAAGAGUUAGUGGAAAGGAGUUUUGAAGUGGUCUGACAUACCUAGAGAUAUUAAGUAUUUCACUGAUGGUGAUGUUGAAGCGAAUAACAUGUCUUGCUUUAUCUAAAGUAGUGACCUCAAACUUGAAAUCUGUUAUGAAGGUCAGUCUGCUGGCUGCAGCUACUUCAUUAGUGACUUCAACUUGAUGUAUCUGAAACUUUUGGUUUUGAUACUUUAUUUUCUUUUUCUUAGUUUUGCUUAAGGGUAGAAAGGUGUAGGAUUCCUGAUUGUGUCUUGAAAUAAUCUAUGUUUCACAGAAGUUCUCUCCAGUAUUAUUUUCUACUGGGUGGGUUUGUUUUAGUUCCUUUAUGCUUGCCACACAAUGACAGGUAUUUAGCACAAGUGUUUCCCAAAAUAGUUGAGAAACAGUAUUCUUCUUGCAGCAAAAUGUAAAUGGAAGUACUUAUAACAUGCAAUUGGAGGUAUUGAGCACAUUUAUUUCCCACAUAAACUGAGAAACAAUAUCCUUCUGGAACCAGUGUAUUUGGAAAUGUUUAUUUAAUACAACAGGAUGUACUUAGUGCAAUUUCCACAUAAGUUGAUAAACUAUGCAUCUUUAAAUCUUUUCUCUUCACCAGAUUACCUGGACUUUCUUUGUGGGCCUUUUUAUCAUGUGCCUGUUGCUAAUAUGUUGUAUUGGUGGAGGUUUAAGAGUUCAAUAAAUGAACCAUGUGAGUGUGAUACUUCUGACCCUACAUAUCAAGGCAGUGAUACUUCUGACCCUAAAUAUUAAGGCAUACAAAUUGUGGCUGGCUGAAUUCGCUUGUCCCUUUUUUUGUUCUUAUGGAUAAUCACUUGGUUUCGCAUGUUUAUUACAAGUAUUGUCAAAAGAUAAGUGAGAUUAACGCAUCAAAUAAUGAUUUUACUUUCACCUUGAUUGCUUUCUUGACUUGCCUUCCUAAUGUAAUUUUAGAUGGAUUUCAUCUGAUUUCUCCUGUUCUCUGAGAUAGCCAUGCUGCUUUAGCACAACUUUGAGUGUAAUGCUGCCCUUCUCACCAUAAAUCUUAGUGAAAAAAGAAAGGUUGUCAAUAGGAAAGUCUUUGGAUGACAAAUAUGCUCUCUUUAACGGGUUCAUUUAUUGUGUCUAGUCUUUUUGCAACUCAGAUAUGUUGAAUAAUUGUUUAACGAUGUGAUUAUUUAUUUAGUUGGUGCAAUUACUUUUAAUAGGUUGAUGUGGGCAAUAAGCCUGUGACCGGACUUCGACUGUAUUUAGAAGGGAAAAGAAGCGAUUGCCUAGCAAUUCAUUUGCAGCACCUUUCCUCUUUACCCGAGAGCUUUCAGCUUCAGAAUAAUUCAAAUCACAAUGCAGGUAACUCAUAUGACCACAGGUAUUAUGAGAAAGUCCAGUGGAAGAGCUUCUCACACGUAUGCAGUGCUCCUGUUGAAUCUGAUGAGGACCUUGCCAUUGUUACUGGUGCUGAAUUUGAAGUCAAAGAAUCUGGUAUGAAAAAUGUUCUUUUUCUGCGCCUUCAUUUUUCAAAGGUCAUUGGCGCCAUGGUUGUCAAGAAACCUGAGUGGGAUGGUUCCACAGUGCUGGGCCAAAAGUCUGGAAUUAUCUCAACAUUGAUUAGCACUCGCUUUUCAACUAGUCAGAAACCUCCACCAAAUCCAUCUGAUGUAAACAUCAACUCAGCACUGUAUCCUGAAGGCCCCCCAAUGCCAGCACAAACCCGUAAACUCUUGAGAUAUGUUGACACAAAGGAAAUGACAAGAGGACCACAGGAUUCACCUGGAUACUGGGUUGUUUCUGGAGCGAGGCUUGUGGUUGAUAAUGGCAAGAUAUCUCUUCGUGUGAAGUACUCUCUUCUGGCUGCCAUCUUGCCGGAUGAAGAGGAGCCAUUUCAUGGAUAAUUUUGUGGACCAAACAGCUGAAGCAGUAAUAUUGCGAGGCAAAAGAGGGAUGUCAUUUCAUGAUUGAAGUCACAGAUUUUUCUUAUAUUUAGCGAGGAGUUUUUGAGAGUUCUUGUAUGGUUUGAAUGGUAUCAGGCAAAUUGCUGCACUUCUUGUGUUCUAGCAUAAAAUUAUGUACAUAAUUCUUGAUGUUGGAAGAAUUUAACUGAAACAGUUACUUGUUCGGAAAUAGGAAAUGGAGAACAGGUAAAUAUGCAUCUUAUUAUAGGACGAAAAUACUUGUUUACACAGUUUUCCUGUCCCCAUGUAAUUUCAUAUUGCCCGAAAAAGGGUGGAGAGGAGGGCGGGAAUUCUCAUUCAGUGGAGUUCCAAAUCUUGUUUCUUGUUUCCUACAAUCUUGAGAUCACUGAAUCAUCUCCUUGCAUAAUAUGGAAAAUCCACAGGUCGGGUCUUUCUAGAAAUCUGAAGAACAAAUAUUAGUUUUUUCUUUUUCAGUUGUCAUAAUUUCUACUAAGAGCAUCCACAAUGCUAUUACACUUUGUGGAGUGUAAUCCACAUGCCACGUCAGCAUUCUACUUUCUCCUCUUUUAUUACACUUUCACUCACAAUGGAUUACACUCCACAAGGUGUAAUAGCAUGGGUCCACAAUUAAUCAAAUAUUUAUUUUAAUAAUGCAUAACUCAUAUCCCAUAAAUAAAUAAAGUAAUUUUAAAACUAAUUUUGUUAUUUUUAAAAAAUAAAGUACUAACUUUCGUUAAAUUUUGUACAUUUUGAAUUUUUUUAUUUUCUAAAAAUGAUAUUAUUAAUUUUUAAGUUUGAAUAAUAUAUCUUUUUCUAUGUUUCAAAAAUAAUAUAUUGUUAUUUUUUUAAAAAUAAUUAUGUAGGAAAUUAAACAAAUAUUUGAUACUUCAAAUGUGAAGAUAUCAUAAUAAUCCAUACUUAAUUAAUAAUUCGAAAUGUAAUUAGUUGAACUCCAUAACAUAAUAUUACAUAAGUUAAAUCAAAUAAAAUACAAAUAAUAACAAAAUGAAUACUAGUUUUCAUUGUCAUUGCUUUCGAAUCGCUGGAAAUGCUGGAAUUUUACCGUUGCCAUAGGCCCACAUUUUGAGAAUUACACGCAUCAUACAUGUGAUGCGUGUAAUCUCCAUGACACGGCUCCAAUGGGGAGCCGCGUCAUGGAGUGGUGUAAUGGGGGUGUAUUACACCCCCAUUGGAGCUGCCCUAAUAAAACUGGAUGUGCAAGCUUCUAAUGUAUAAAUAAAUAUGUGGCUAAUUGUUCUUCUAGCUCUUGCUAGGUUUAAUAAAAUCAGAGUCAACCGUGAACUAAAAUUUUGGGAAGUAUUUGCUAGACUUUAUUUAUUCACGGACACAAGUUCAAGAGAAUGUUUUUAUAGCAACAGAGGAAACAAAAAUACAGGCCCCAAAUGCAUAAGCAAAUUUUGGAGUGUGUUUUUCACACCGAUGGUAAGACAGAGUAUGCUGUAUCAAAGAAAGCCAAAAGCGCAACACUGGUGAUAAGAUGGUGUCUUUGUAGUUAUGGAGAUCAAAAGUUAAAACCACCAGUUAAUUUGGAAAAAAUGGUGAAGAGAUGGCAAAAUCGAUAAAGUCAGGAGAGGAGUGAAGUGGAGGAAGCUUUGUUUCUUUGUAAAAUUGAUACAAGUCAUAUGAGGGGAAAUAAACGGGCAAUGAAUUACGAAACUGCGAAGAAAUCGAGAUAAAUUAUUAGCCUAGGUAAUGAAAUAGUGAGUUUUUGAUAAUUGAAAAUCCCUUAAAGAAUAAUGAAUAUAGAAUAGAGAUAAAGAUGUUCAUUCCAAAUGGUUGAAUAACUUGAUGAUUGCCAUAUAUACAAAAGUAAUUCCCUCAAAAAUAUAUGUGAGAGUGGAUGGAAUGUCUGCAUUCGACGUAUGAGUGACAAUUGUGCCAGAAUUUUUUUAUUUGAGUAAUAAAAAGGGAUAAUUUCAGAAACCUCCCUUGAGGUUUUUGACAAUUUCACUCAGUUCCCUUUAGGUUUAAAAAAUUACACUUACCUCUUUUGGCAUAGUAAAAUACCUAUAAUGCCCUCCACUUGGUAGACAAUUUUAAAUUUAAGACAAUAAAUUUACAAAACCCAAAAAAAAUCUAUUUUUCUGUCUUUUAUCUAUUUUCGCUUCUCUCUUUUCUAAUUAAUAAAACCUCUUUUUAUUAUUUUCAAUUUUAUAGAUAUUAGCAAAUUGAAAUUACCAAAUCAACAGAAAGAACAGAUUAUGUGUCAAAUUAAGAGAAAACAAAGAGACUCACAGUGAUACAAAAAUAAAUAAUGAAAUUGAUGAAAUUAGAAGAACUAUAGAUGUAGAAUUUGUCAUAUUUUGUUUGUUGUCAAGAAAAUCUUUUAUAAAAUGUCAAUAAUUACAUAAUGAUUUCUUUCAUUGGAUUAGAAAUUUUUUAUUAUGAUUUUAUUAUGGAGAUAGAAUUUAUUCUCUACUUUUGAGAUAUUAAUAUUUUUAAAGCCAUAAGAGGUUUAUAAUGGCAGUUCUAGGUCAGACUAACUUGUAUUGAAAAGGUAUUUGAGCAUUGACAUUUAAUUUUGGGGUACAACCAGUUGUCAAUGGGGUUUGUGUGUGUAUUUUUUUUCUUUUUUCCUUUUUUUCUGCGUGACAAGUUUGAUACUGUAUAUGCAAUUUGAAAUUUUUUAGAUGGCUAUUUGGUUUUAAAAUUUAUGUUUGAAUGAUUAUUAGAGAUUAGACUUGUUGAUUUAUGCAAAGUAUGAAAAAAAUGAUUGAGUAUACUAUAUUUUUCUUUCUUAGUUUUGUACAAAAGGGCAAUUUAGGAUUUUUGUAAGAAAAUCUAUCUUGUUGAAUCUACAUUGUUACUAAACAUUAAACGUAGGGGAGGUAUAUGUAAUUUUUAAAACCUAAGAGGAGCUCUAUGUAAUUGUUAAAAAUCUCAAGGGAGGUUUGUGAAAUUAUCCCUAAUAAAAAUGGCAUUCAACAUAUAUUUUAAAAAUGCGAGCAAGCUCAUAUAAAAUUUAUAGUGUACAUUGAAAUGGUAGAUAUCAUUGAAUAAAAUUAAAAUGCAAAUAUAAGUGGUAUUAGCUUAUGGGGUAGGGAUGCUACGAAUAUAAAUUAUUUACUGUUAUAAAUUUGGUAGAAACUGUGACUACAUGAAGAAUUAAGGUAUCGAUCAAGCAAUGUACCCUAAGUCAUUCGUACAACUCUACACCAUAGAAAAAUUUGAAAGUUUGUUUCGAUGUUAUUCUAUAAUUUCAUAGGAUUGUUAAACGUUUAAAGGAGAAGAAACUUAUUAAAGUUUCUGUUUCAGAAGUAUUUGUGCUUGAAUCUAGUUUUUCUAAUUCCGAAGCUAACCCUCGGGUAUUAGAUGCCAAAAAUGCAUCUCAUAUUUAUGUGAACAUGCAAGGAUGAAAGAAAAGUAGAUGACCGAAAAAUGGUAAACUCUUCAUAUGCGCAGGCAACGGUAGACAUGGUCAUGGUUCCAAAAUUGCCGGUUAUAGUUUAAAAACCAACGAUUCCAAUCCUACUAAAAGAUGGGAUUUGAACUUGCCCUUAUAAGCAUCUUAAAACCCCAAUUUCGAUCCAAUUUUAGUUCCAAUUUUAUUUCAAUUACAGUUCCGAUUUCUUCCAAUUAUAGUUCCAGUUCUUUUAAUUAUGCUUAAACACUUGUUAUAAAAUUGAUUUUAAGCAAAUCUAAUAAUGAAUGUAGAAAAAAAAUAAGAACAUUAUUGCACUAUCAUGUUCAAGAAAAAUUUUUUUUAAAAAUGAUGCAAAUUUUAUGAAAAAAUAUUAUGAUUCAUUAGAUUAGAUUGGUUGUAGACUUAAAUUAGUUAUGGGGUCUAAACUUACUAAUAGGAAGAGACAACGGGCUGUUGGAGAAUUGGCGCUGCUGGUGUUAGAUGCUGAUUAUUGAUAUUGAAUUUUAAAAUGGUCAAAUAGAUCUAGAUAGCAAUUUUUUUUUUUAUAAAUAGCUUGAACCGAAUCUAAGUAGCCAGUUCUAUUUUUCGUUCAAGUUUUCCUUUAGUAAUGGUUAUGGUUUCAAAUCUAGUUUCCAAAAUUUCUUUUGAUUCCAGUUUGGUUCCAGUUUAAACCUAAACCGUGGCUAUCCCUAGGCAAUGCAGUAAGAGUUGUUCAUUAGCCAUAGGAAUUUACAUACAUUACCUUGUGGACUUACUUUAAGAUUAAGCAAUUGUUACUAUAUUUCAAUAUUGAUUGGAAAUGUCUCAAUAUACUAUUAUAAUCAUUUGAAUUGUUUGUGCAAACAAUUACACUGUCACAUAGAGAAUAAUUUAUUGACUCUAUCACAUAGAGAACAAUUACACAAAUAUAAAAAUCAAUUACAUUCUGUCAUAUAGAGAAUAAUUUAUCGACAAGAUAAAAUAAUUAUCCAUCUGAAUUGUUUAUGCAAAUCAAUCUAGUAAUUUUGAUCAUUCUAUCAACGAUCACAUACUAGUUUAUAUGUCUCCACACAUUAUAGUAAAUGAGAUCUAUUGCUUCAUUUAUAAAGAAGAGCCAUGAUAUGUGCUAGUGUAUCCCUAUUAACAAUAUCAUGUCUUAUUGAUACUUCAUUUGUAAAGAAGUAGCAUAAUAGCUAAGUAUAAACCCUAAAUAAAUCCAACAAUAUCGUCAUCAUAUCAAUUAUUUUAUUGAUUUAGUUUAAUUUUUUGGACUUUAUCAUCCAAAUUACAAAAUACAAGCAAUCAAAUUGAUCAAUAGUAAAAGUACACAAAAACCCUAGAAGUUUAUUGAUCAAGACAUACAUACUAACAAUACCUCAUUUAGUCGAGCAAGCAAGAGCUCUAAACACACUAGUUCGCAACCUAUUACUUUAGCAAGAGAUUAUUUGUUUAUUGGACUUAUCAGCAGUAGGGAUGCUGAGUUUAUAAAUGGUUGUGCAUGGCGGAAUGAGUCAUUGCCGCCAAUCAGUGUUAUGUCCACCGUUGUGCUAGGAUAUGUAACUUUCCUUAAUCGCACUUGCAUACAUGACAAAACAGGAAUAUCAUUUUUCAGGACUUAAGUCUUGAAUGAUGAUCACUGGCAGUUUGAGUUUGACCUGAUAUAGUGAUUGUAAUUUCCCUUAAUGUGUGCUAUUUAGAUGAUGUAAAUGCCAAUAAUUUCGAAUUAGGGUUUUAUAUUUUGCUGCAAUUUGAUGUCACUGUUGAGGCCUUCAUCAUAAGUUUUGCAUAGAUACUCUUUAAGUUAAAAGAAAGCUACUGCUUAAUAUUUUGCUAGUUAGUGGAGUUGUGUGACAGAUUCCAUACUAUUUUAUCUUAAAAAUUCUUAGGGCCAUGUCAUAUUUUUCUGAAUCAUCAUAAUAAACAACUAUCAAAUUUUCAUAAGGAUCAAGAAGAAUGUGUUGAAAUCAAAAUUUCACUGUGUUUGGCUUUUUGGGGCACAACAAGCCAUCACUAAUUUGACGUCGGAAUCAUUUGCAAAUCCCUACUUUAAUACAUUUAAAUCGCGUUACCUAAAUGCAAAAAUGAGAAGGAUCUCUAACUUAAACCAGAUUUACAAAAGUGGGCUGCAUCUUGAAUUAGAAAAGUCAUACAAAAAAUGGUUCUUAAUGCAAAAAUGAGAAGGAUUUCUAACUUAAACCAGAUUUACAAAAGUGGGCUGCAUCUUGAAUUAGAAAAGUCAUACAAAAAAUGGUUUUUAUGUUGGUUAGUUUCCAUUUGGACCACUACGACUUUCACAAGAAACCUUUCAAAGAUAUUGAUCAUAGAUAGUGUAAUUAAAAAUUGAAUUUAGUUCACAAUUUUCAAAUUCCAGAGGUGAUUCUUAGUCAAUUUUAAAUAUUUUUAUUCUUGAUAUGAAAAGAUCGAGAACAACUUAUUUGUAUAUAUAAAAAAAAGCCCUGAUUUUGAAUUCAUGAAUAAGUUAACAUAGAAGAAAGAUCGCUACAUUUAUUGUUAAAUGGGGAUCUAUUUAUAAUUUUUCGAAGUGUCAAGUAGAAACCAAAUUCCAAUGUCUAGGCUUGUGACGAUCUCAUUUUACAUCUUGCAAGACUUUCAGAGACAUUUGCGAAGCUUCGCCAAUGCUUGUCCGAGUACUUUGUAGCCAAUGAAUAUAUGACUUAACUCGUGAACUUUGUAUGAAAUCUUGAACGACAAUAGGUCUUGGAAGCUAUGCAUUAAUUUGAUACGUGAAAUAACCAGGAAAUGCAAGUCGCUAUUUUGACUAAAUCUACGUAAUUGGUUAAAAAUUACUUCGUUAUUUUAUAUUCUUUCUUUCUUGAAACAAAAAGAAACAUUACAUAGACUUGGCAAAUUGUGGUUCAACGUUAAUCUCAUACCUAUUGUGAUUAAGGCAUACCUAUUGUGUCAUUUGUGUGUGAUUAGUAAAAGCAUUAUAUUUUGUAAACGAAUUUAAUAACAAAAGGUUUAAAGACAUUUGUUUCACUUGUUUUGCCUCUAAUGAAUCCAGGGGUAAUUCUCUAAUUUCUGAGAUUGAAUUUGAGUUCCUUUUCCCAGGAAUUUGACUAUAAGAUGAUGGUAGAGUAGUAGUACACCAUUCCAGGAGGUUUCUUUCCCUUAUUCAAGAAUUACUCUAAUUAACAGAUACCUGGUUUUAUAAAGGAAAAAAAAACGUGAAAUUUACCACAAAAAAAAAAAAAGAGAAACACAAAUAAAAGAUAAAAUAAGUAUGGCUGCAAACUAUCAGAACUCAAUAAAAUUGAGGAACAUUACCAAAAAGAAAGUUAAAGAAGAAAAAAAAAAAAAACAUCGACACACACUAUAUAUACAAAUAUAAAUCGUACAAAUCCCCACUAGAUAGAACUUGUAUUUAAUACUUGAACAAGUGUAAAAUUUUUUCAAAGUCACAAUUCCAUGAGGGGAGAAAAAAGGGUUUGUUAUGAGAUAUGGCAAUGGUUCUUCAGUAUCAGAUGUUUAAGUUGAGUACAUAAAAUGAAGAGGUAGUUUUUUGUUUCAAUACUUUUUGGUGGAGAAGUUGAAGUCUUAUGAUUAGGGCAAGAGCUAAUUAGGAGGAGUUGCAUGAUAUACUUGAUUGGAAUAGUAAUUAAUGCGGUUACCGCAAUUGGUCAGAAAUUAAUUAGAAGAGUAAAUAUGAUAUUUUAAAAAGUGAUAAUAAAAUGUUUACAACAAAUCAAACUCUGCUCCUACUUUAUUAUUGUAGUGAUUUAAAAAAUAAAAAAUAUUAGUAGUAGGCUGGCGGAUUUUUACAUCGUUGGUGAUCUAAUGAAUUAAUAUCAACAGAGUUUCAUUACAAAUAAAUUUUUUAGACAAUGAAUAAGUGACUCCAGGGUAAUCCAAUGACAAAACAUCCCAUUUCAAGCAUCCUAAACUGCAAUCUGUUUCUUCCACCGUUAAACUGCAUUAAAUUUCAAUACUCCUGGCAUAAUUUUAAACAAAUUUCCUGUAUCCCUAAAAAGUAGAAAAGCACAAAUCUGCUUUAACAUUACUAGAAGUACAUCAACAGUCGUGAAACACGGAUCCUUGUUUAGUUUACACGGGAGAACCAAUAUACAUUUCCAUGAUAUUACACUCACUCGCACAAGUUUAGCAUUUCAAUCCACAUACUACUGUAAUCCACUUUCUGCUAUAACAGAACAAUAAUAAGAUUAACAGGAUUAGGCAAACAAAACGGACCAGGAAAUAGCCAAAGACAGUCUCCAAACUCUCUGUCUAGCCUUUAAUUUAAGUAGACAGAGACUUAUGCUAGACA